GUGGGAUGUAAGCAUCAUAUCAACAAUUUCUCUGCUGCUGCUCAGUGGUGGGGAAUCCACCCCCACCGCCACGUUAGGAGAGCAAUCUUACUCUGGAGCUACAGCCCCAGCCUUAGAAAAGCUUUUUUGGGGGGAGGGGUAUUGGGGAUUGAACUCAGGACUUUAUGGUCGGGCGUGGUAGCACAUGCCUAUAAUCCCAGCACUCAGGCUGAGGCAGGAGGAUCACUGUGAGUUCAAGACCAGCCUGGGCUACAUAGUGAGUUCCAGGUCAGUCUCAACUACAUAGUGAGACCCUGUCUCAAAAAACCAAAUGAACUCAGAACUUUGUGCUUGUGAGGCAGGUGCAGCACCACUGAGCUACAGCCCUGGCCCUUGAAAAGUUUUUUUGUUUUGUUUUGUUUUUGGUUUUGGUUUUGGUUUUUGUUUUUGUUUUGAAGCCAGGUCUUGCCAAGUAGUUCAGCUAUAAUCCCAUGUGAACUCACUGUGUAGCUCUGGCUGGCUUCGAAUUUGAGGGAAUCCUCCUGUCCCAGGCUCCCAGAGGAUUUUGUAAAUGCUUUCUGUGUGGGUCUCUGCAAUCACCAACAUCCUGAGACGCCUGCCUCUCCAAUUUCUCCUCUGUCAAACUUCUGCUAAUUCACAGACUCAACUUGUGUUUGAACUCAGUGUGUUACUACAGCACACUGGCUGUCCUCUGUGUGGUCAAAGUAAGUUGUCAUCUGCAUCAUUUAAAAAACAGCUCCCUACAACGUUGUCAGAACUGGAAUGCUGCUGAUGAUUUCCAAGCACCUCAGUGUCGGUGCAUUGGUUUUUCAGCAGACCGCUUCACAACACCAACCCAUCUAGCGAUGUCCGAUAGGCUCUGUUUGUCUCCAGGCAAUCGUAGAUGUCUGUGCCCUGGGAAGUACUGCUGUUUCCUUCCAUGGAAGACCCUGGACAACCAUGUAGUAUGCGGUUUAGGUGGACGGCUCUAGAGACUUUGACAGUCCCUUAGAAGCUUGGCCCUGCUGUGAACCGAGAGACACCUUCUGGGCCUGAAACUGAGAGGAGCCCCCCCCCGAGAUAGAUGCGUAUCGACUUUGCCAAGGGAGCAGAUCGGCAGCAUGUCGUACAUGCCUACAGCAGAGCAGAAACAAUGUUUUCUUUAUCAGACACACCUGUCGCCAGCCAUUGGUUGUCUAGAGUUGGUAAGUGGCAAAACAAAUCCUCUCAAAUAUAGUGAAGUUGGACACAAAUGCAAGGACCCACAAAUGAAAUCAGAACUAGCUGCAACCAAGUUCCCAAAGGGCCUAACAGCUGAGACAUGCAUUGAGUCCUAACGACACUUUUCCCUUAAUGUCAUCACGUUUCUUCAGGAAACAGCUCAAGAACCGGACACCACACUUUGCAAGAAGCUAGAAAAUGACUUAGGGAUCCCCCC
rnacentral:lncRNA from 1 species